AAAUCACACCAUGCAGAUGUUAUCAAGAUAUGAAGUGCCUUAUAAAUAUCCUGAGUAUCAGGAAGGAUCCCGCCCUCCUUGGAGCUGAGCCCUGGAGCCUCACGGAAGUCUUGCGAUGGGACAGGUGCUGCUGAAGGGCAUCCGCAGGCUGAUAGCAAAGACCCCAUCCGGAUGCCAUCUCUUGCAAUCUACCAUAGUGAUUAUGAAGAUGAUCCCUGGUUAUUUUUCUUAUAAGAAAUCACCUCAAGCCAGCCAGUUGAUUAGAAAUAUUGACAGGUAUUCACAGAAUAAAUUUAAUUUGAAUUCCUUACACAAGCAAGUUUUCAGAAGGUUCAUUUGUUAAUCGAUUUAUCUGGAAAUGAGAAAGCCCCUUUUCCAUAGAAGUGUAGGUCCACACAGGCUCGUCU
rnacentral:lncRNA from 10 species